UACUUAAACAAGUUAAACCCUAAAAGUUUCUCAUUGUUUUUUUGUGACCAGCCGCUUUUCAUCAUCUUCCCUCCCAAGAUCUCAAAAUCUUGUCUUCAACCUAAAACACCCACUGCCUCUCUCCCUCACUCUCUCGUUAACACACACACACAUAUAAGGAUCCUGUCCCUCUCAACACCAUUUUACCCUAAAACAACUACACAUAAACAACACCCAAAAUCCCAUCGUUCUUCUUCUCGAUGUCGGACCGGCGAUACACCGGCCGGCUGCCGGCGCCGGUAAUCCGACCAGCCACUCGACCCAUCUCGACAACCACACACUCUCGACAUCACCAUUUCAUGUUUCACGUAACCUGCGAUUGACGGAACUUCACCGGAGAAACCCGCGGCGGUUCUUUCUUUCGUUCGAACUCGCGUCGGAAGACUAACCGGAGUUCACCGGGGCUGCCUGAGGUUCGCGACGGUAUCACGUCAUCCCUUGUUUCGACGAAGAAACGCCACCGGAGGAAAACCGACUUGCCGGGAAUUGAUUUUGAUAUGAGUCGCCGCAUCCGCGAGUCGGAACGAGGAAGCUCUUGUCGGAAACAUCACCCGGGAACUCGUGAUUCGUUCCGGUUAAUCGCCCUCGUUCGUCCUCUUGGAUUUUUUUUUACUCAUGCGUUAUUCUACAAGAAAUCGCAACGCAAUCACUGAAUAUCAAUGAUGCAUGGAAUCUAGUAGGAUUGCCCAGAAACGCAUUUAAACGUUAAAUACUUGUUGUAUUGUAUUUUAUUUCAUACAUGUUGUAAUUAGUUCCAAAACCAUUGUAUUAAACUGUUAUGAAAUGAAAUGAAAUUAUAUUUCUUUUA